rnacentral:ncRNA from 2 species
CGAGCCCGCUCGGGAGAGUCCCGACCCCGCCGAGCAGGUGGGACGCGGGGCGCCGAAGGAGCAACCCCUCCCCGGAAUCUCUCAGGCAUCCGUACCGAACGGGACAG